AACGUAGGUGGCAAGCGUUAUCCGGAUUUACUGGGCGUAAAGGGCUCGCAGGCGGCCUGUCAGGUCGGCUGUGAAAUCUCCCGGCUCAACUGGGAGGGGGCGGCCGAAACCGGCAAGCUUGAGGGCCAGAGAGGGACACGGAAUUCCCGGAGUAGUGGUAAAAUGCGUUGAGAUCGGGAGGAACGCCAGUGGCGAAAGCGGUGUCCUGGCUGGAACCUGACGCUGAGGAGCGAAAGCGUGGGGAGCGAACGGG
rnacentral:rRNA from 1 species